ACAGAUUGCUAGACGGGGGUUAGAACAUCCCCCAGCCAGCAUUCAAAUAUUUGUCAUCAUCAAAUGACAUCUGUUUGUCGUUGGUUUUUUGUUUUGAAGGCCGGCCAAAAGUUUGUCUAGUCAAAGGUCAGUGCUUGACACAAGAAGACAGUGCGUUUCGGCAGUGUAAGAAUGCUUUCUUGUUGAAAAAUACAUCCUGAAAAUCAGCAACUACUUGAAGUAAAGUCAAAAUCGCAUCACAUUGAUCAUUCUGGCAUUAACAAUAAAAGUCAAUCGAUUGUCAGCA